AUGGGCUGCUACUUGUCAUGGGGAUGCUUGCUCCUGGUCCUCUGCGUAGUCCACUCCAUGCUUCCGAGUUCUUCAACUUGCUUAAGAGAGGAAAGGGCGGCCCUCAUGGAUAUUAGCUCUUGGUUCAUGACCGCGAAGUCCGAGGUUCCCAGUUGGUGGGGACACGGUGAGGACUGCUGCUCGUGGGAAAGGAUCACUUGCGACAAUAGCACGCGACGAAUAUUGCGUCUCGAUCUUCACCCGAUCUACCAGCAAAUCCCUAUCCAUAAUAGUGAUGGCUCUACAUUAUUUCAACCCAUGGAAGCUGCAUGCUGGAACUUGAACUUGGCAAUCUUUUCUUCGUUUCGGGAGCUUCAGCUGUUGGAUUUCUCUGCAAAUUUCGCUUGUUUACAAAAUUUCGACGGUCUCCAAGGAUUGAGUAAGCUCAAGUAUCUCAACCUCAGUGAUAACAGUUUCAUAGGCGAUAUCUCAGGAUUUGUCAACAAAAUGGUUUCUCUGGAGGUCAUAAAUCUGAACAGAAACAACAUGAGUGGGGUUCUUCAGAAUACAGGUUUAAACAAUCUCCAGAACUUGCGAGAACUGCAUAUGAGAUCUAAUCAAUUGAGUGGUAGCCUCCCAGCAUCCAUAUUUGGCCUUCCACGCCUUGAGUAUCUGGAUCUUUCAGAAAACCUCUUUGAAGGACACAUACCUAUAAACUCAUCUUGGAAGUGUUCCUCACUGCUUCAAACUCUCAGGUUAUCCAAAAACAAGCUAGGCGGUAAAUUUGAUUUCUUCUGGCUAAGAAACUGUACAAAGCUCAAACAAAUAGAUCUGUCCAGGAAUACUAAUUUGCUUGUUCAAGUGAAAAUGCAUGGCUGGGUACCUAAAUUUGAAUUGAGAACACUACUGCUCUCUUGGUGUAAUCUUGAUAAAAGCAUGCUUACAGAGCCACAUUUCCUACGCACACAACAUCAUCUGGAAUUUCUUGAUUUGUCCAACAAUGAUUUGCCAGGAAGCAUGCCUAAUUUUCUGUUAGCAAAUGAAGCGACACUAGCUUACCUGGAUCUUUCAAAUAACUCGUUAGUUGGAUCACUAUACCCCAGUUGGCAAAACCAAACUGAUCUUCAACUACUUAACAUAUCUCUGAACCGUAUUAAACGGCAGCUGCCGCCCAAUAUCAGUUCCAUGUUUCCCAAACUGUGGAUUCUCGAUGUUUCUCAUAAUAAUAUAUCUGGAGUUGUUCCAUCUUCAUUGUGCAACAUUGGCAGGAUUCAAAUUAUGGACCUAUCAAAUAACAACUUUGUAGGGCAGGUACCAUCUUGCUUGUUCACGAACUGUUCUGCAUUGAAUAUAUUGAAGCUCUCAAACAAUAAUCUCGGGGGCACGAUACUUGACAGGGCUAGUAACUUGUCAUUUUUGUCGGAAAUAUACCUAGACAACAACAAAUUUGAAGGGACUCUUCCUAGAAAUCUGUCUGGUAAUGUCCGAGUCAUGGAUUUACAUGGUAACAAGAUGUCUGGAGAAGUAGACAUUUCAUUAUGGAAUCUUCCUUUACUGGAAGCUUUGAGCCUUGCUAGAAAUAGUUUAAGUGGUCACAUUCAUCCAGAAAUGUGUAAAUUAACAAGUCUCCGACUGUUAGAUCUAUCUGAAAACUAUUUUGUCGGGCUUAUACCACACUGCAGCCGUACAUUACCACUCUGGUUUCUGAGUAUAUCUGGGAAUUCACUGUCAGGCUCCCCAGAUGCAUUUUUCAACAACUCCUUCAUUACAGCUUUGGAUCUCAGCCGUAAUCAGUUCACAGGCAACCUUGAGUGGACACGAUAUCUUUUUGAAAUCAAUCUACUUUUGUUAGGCGGAAAUAAGUUUGAGGGACAGAUCUCUUCAAAUCUAUGUCGUCUCCAACACUUGAGUUUAAUUGACAUCUCUCACAACAGACUCUCGGGUUCUGUACCACCAUGUAUUGGUGGCAUUCCAUUUGAAGACCCCGAAGCUUAUAAAUUCUUUUGGCCGACAACUACUGGUAUUAGUACAUUUGGAGAGUGGUUUGAAGGUAUGGACUUCUCAUAUGACAGCCAUUAUGUCCUCAGAGGUUUCACCUUCACAACUAAAGGGAAUCCAUACACAUAUGGACGUAACUUCUUCAUGUCGAUGUCUGGCAUUGACUUAUCAGCAAACAUGUUGUCAGGUGAAAUUCCAUGGGAGAUAGGGAAUUAA
rnacentral:rRNA from 1 species